UACGUAGGGUGCAAGCGUUGUCCGGAAUUAUUGGGCGUAAAGAGCUCGUAGGCGGUUUGUCGCGUCGGCCGUGAAAUCUCCACGCUUAACGUGGAGCGUGCGGUCGAUACGGGCAGACUUGAGUUCGGUAGGGGAGACUGGAAUUCCUGGUGUAGCGGUGAAAUGCGCAGAUAUCAGGAGGAACACCGGUGGCGAAGGCGGGUCUCUGGGCCGAUGACUGACGCUGAGGAGCGAAAGCGUGGGGAGCGAACAGGA
rnacentral:rRNA from 1 species